rnacentral:rRNA from 1 species
CACUGGUCGAGUCGGCCUGCGCGGAAGAUGUAACGGGGCUAAACCAUGCACCGAAGCUGCGGCAGCGACGCUUAUGCGUUGUUGGGUAGGGGAGCGUUCUGUAAGCCUGCGAAGGUGUGCUGUGAGGCAUGCUGGAGGUAUCAGAAGUGCGAAUGCUGACAUAAGUAACGAUAAAGCGGGUGAAAAGCCCGCUCGCCGGAAGACCAAGGGUUCCUGUCCAACGUUAAUCGGGGCAGGGUGAGUCGACCCCUAAGGCGAGGCCGAAAGGCGUAGUCGAUGGGAAACAGGUUAAUAUUCCUGUACUUGGUGUUACUGCGAAGGGGGGACGGAGAAGGCUAUGUUGGCCGGGCGACGGUUGUCCCGGUUUAAGCGUGUAGGCUGGUUUUCCAGGCAAAUCCGGAAAAUCAAGGCUGAGGCGUGAUGACGAGGCACUACGGUGCUGAAGCAACAAAUGCCCUGCUUCCAGGAAAAGCCUCUAAGCAUCAGGUAACAUCAAAUCGUACCCCAAACCGACACAGGUGGUCAGGUAGAGAAUACCAAGGCGCUUGAGAGAACUCGGGUGAAGGAACUAGGCAAAAUGGUGCCGUAACUUCGGGAGAAGG